AAGGAUAUUAGUGAGGUGAGUGACUCACCCACAGAGACUACCACCGUCACGUCGUCACCUGAUAUCGUCGGUCUGUUGUUCUCACGCGAACAUAUAUCUUAACUCUAACUUCAAAUAUCUGUGAUACACGUGUAUAAAGAAGAGGACGCAUCAUAUCACAUGAAGAUACAGCCACUCUGUUGAAGCUAUAUGAAUACCUGGUCACAUAUAGAUCCGUUAGACCGAAAAAGGAUCUUCCGACGAAAAAACAAUCGAUAGAAAGAAUCCAGCA